GGAGUGGUAUCGUAAAGCUUGGUGACCCUAGCUGCUCCUGAAAUGGAGCGGGAUAGAUUGAAAUCGGGGCCCAGGGUGAGCCGCUUU
rnacentral:ncRNA from 1 species